GCAGAUUUUGUCAUCACUUUCAUUGAUCUUAAGCAGGAAGAUCAUAAGGAAAUAUCGAUUCUAAGCCUCAAUCAUCCCCUAUAGUUGAAGUUGGAGGUUACAUUUAUGGUAGUUAUUGUGUGUUUCCAUCGUGAAAAAAAACGGAGAAGUUUAGUUGAUCGUCGCGUUCCACCAUUUAACACCGGCUUCAUUUAGUUGGUUUUAGUGAAGAAGAGGAAUUCAGAAACAGUGUCAAGUAGUGGUUUUGGUGAUCCAUUUCCCGUCGGAUCUGAAGGAACCAGAUCACGAUUUUGGUGUCGUUGGAUAGAUACUGCUGCUAGGAAUAAAUAGAAUCUUUCGGUUCUUCGUUACAAGUUUGCAGUUUCGACCUGAGGUUUUGGUGGAAGAAUUCCGGCGUUACCUAAGCGAUUCAAGUCAGUUCGACGGUUGUUACAGAUAUAAGGGGUGUUAGGGAAGCCACCUGAGCCAUCAUUAUCACCGAAAAAUAUUAUUGCUAGCUGCUCCAGCCUUCUUCCUUCCAGUCCUAUUUCUAGCCAGAAUUCAGGUCAGGUUUGGUUAGAGAGUUUUACGCAAGUCGUCCGAGUUCUUUUGGUGUAUUUGAGGGUUGGGGUUUCACAAUUCAUAUCUUAAACAUUUUAUAAAAAGAUAAAUGUUUUAAUAAUU